UGCAGUCGAGCGGAACGAGUUAUCUGAACCUUCGGGGGACGAUAACGGCGUCGAGCGGCGGACGGGUGAGUAAUGCCUGGGAAAUUGCCCUGAUGUGGGGGAUAACCAUUGGAAACGAUGGCUAAUACCGCAUAAUAGCUUCGGCUCAAAGAGGGGGACCUUCGGGCCUCUCGCGUCAGGAUAUGCCCAGGUGGGAUUAGCUAGUUGGUGAGGUAAGGGCUCACCAAGGCGACGAUCCCUAGCUGGUCUGAGAGGAUGAUCAGCCACACUGGAACUGAGACACGGUCCAGACUCCUACGGGAGGCAGCAGUGGGGAAUAUUGCACAAUGGGCGCAAGCCUGAUGCAGCCAUGCCGCGUGUAUGAAGAAGGCCUUCGGGUUGUAAAGUACUUUCAGCAGUGAGGAAGGUGGUGUACUUAAUACGUGCAUCAUUUGACGUUAGCUGCAGAAGAAGCACCGGCUAACUCCGUGCCAGCAGCCGCGGUAAUACGGAGGGUGCGAGCGUUAAUCGGAAUUACUGGGCGUAAAGCGCAUGCAGGUGGUUUGUUAAGUCAGAUGUGAAAGCCCGGGGCUCAACCUCGGAAUUGCAUUUGAAACUGGCAGACUAGAGUACUGUAGAGGGGGGUAGAAUUUCAGGUGUAGCGGUGAAAUGCGUAGAGAUCUGAAGGAAUACCGGUGGCGAAGGCGGCCCCCUGGACAGAUACUGACACUCAGAUGCGAAA
rnacentral:rRNA from 1 species